rnacentral:rRNA from 1 species
AACGAACGCUGGCGGCAUGCCUAACACAUGCAAGUCGAACGGUAACAGGCCGCAAGGUGCUGACGAGUGGCGAACGGGUGAGUAAUGCAUCGGAACGUGCCCAGUCGUGGGGGAUAACGCAGCGAAAGCUGCGCUAAUACCGCAUACGAUCUAUGGAUGAAAGCGGGGGACCGUAAGGCCUCGCGCGAUUGGAGCGGCCGAUGUCAGAUUAGGUAGUUGGUGGGGUAAAGGCUCACAAAGCCAACGAUCUGUAGCUGGUCUGAGAGGACGACCAGCCACACUGGGACUGGGCCACGGCCCAGACUCCGACGGGAGGCAGCAGUGGGGAAUUUUGGACAAUGGGCGCAAGCCUGAUCCAGCAAUGCCGCGUGCAGGAAGAAGGCCUUCGGGUUGUAAACUGCUUUUGUACGGAACGAAACGGUCCUGGUUAAUACCCGGGGCUAAUGACGGUACCGUAAGAAUAAGCACCGGCUAACUACGUGCCAGCAGCCGCGGUAAAAC